UCCACAUACUUUACCUUCCCUUCUCUAAUGUAAGGCAAUAUAAAGUCCAAGAACUUCGAAUAUUGUGGAUAGUAAUCAACUGUCGCGAAUCCUUCAAUUCGAAUCCUCUUGUAAACAAUCGACAUUAGAUUGUGUACCCCUUCAGGUUGAUCACGGUUGUAUUGUGAGAUCAUUCCGCAGACGGCAAUGCAACCAUGGACUCUCAUGUUGAGAAUCACAGCAUCCAACAUUUUACCCCCGACGUUCUCGAAGUAGAUGUCGAUGCCUUCGGGAAAAUACCUGAAUUCAAAAAGUUGAUUCAAUCAACUUGAACUCAUAUAUAAUUUGAUUCUAUUGGAUCAUAAAAGAAAGUUGACAAUUCAAACAUGUCCAACUAAACAACUUGAAUCCGAAAUAUCCAAACAUUAACUUGACCUAACUCGAAAUAGUCUAAUGUAAACCUAAAUUGACCUGAUCCAAACUAUCCAAUUGACAAAGUCUUUAUAGAAGUGAUUUUUUAGUUAGUUUAAUGUAUAUAUUGAGAUAAUCAAUCACCCAAUCUAACAUGGUUUGAGAGUUUUUGUAUUUGAAUCUUGUCAAUCAUUUUUCCUUUUUCUAUGUAUUCAUGUAAUUUUUUGUUGUCCAUCGAACUUUUUUUUCACGAACUACAUCCAAAGAGAAUUGCCCAAAAAAGCCUACCAUUGCACUCUUGAAGGUUCGAACCCAAGUGGGAUCUAGGAUGAACAAUCAUUAGUCACCAAGCCAGUCAUAGGAGUUCAAACGUACCAAAACUAUGGAUCAAAUUUUAAAUCUAUUCAUAAGCUUCAAAACAUUUUAAUCGAAUCCUCAAAUUAAAAUAUCAUUUCAACAAGAUCUUUCUACCACUUUAGUAGUCGGCUUUAACAUUAAAUAUUAGCUUGGAUUUAAACAAGAGUAUGGUGGGGACCAUCGCGCCCAAGCCAGAAAAAAAUUAGAAAAUUUUAGUAAGUUUGUAAAACUUUUUGAAAAUUUGAUUAAGUUUCUUAAAAUUUUCUAAAAUUCUCAUUAAGCCUCUCAAAAAUUUUUAAAUUAUUAUUGAACUCUCAAUUUUUUUUUAAAAAAAAUUCUCAUUAGACCCCUCAAAAUUUAUAAAAAUUUUAAUUAACCCCCAAAACUAACUAUUAGAUCCAAGAUACAUUUAAUGCUAAAACUAACCUUUUCAAAGCUGCAUUCAAAUCAGGCUCUUCCUUGUAGUUGAAAGCUUCAUCAAACCCAAAUUUAUUCUUCAAUAAUUCAACCUUGUUUUUUUUUCAAAACAAAUGGAAGUUAGUUUUUUAAAUAUACAAAAUGUAAUGAUAUAUAAAAUAGAUAGGGUACAUGAUAGCAUGGAAAUUUUGCAUAUAUAUAAAAAUAGUUGAUUGAGUCUAAGCUCAAUUGGUAUGGGUAUUGUUAUCAAUGUAGAAGGAUGUGGGUUCAAGUUUAUUUAAGAUUAGAAAUUGUGAUGCUAUACUCAUAUGGAAGGACGCAUAUAUAAAAAAGAAAAAAAAAGAGAUCAAUUUAUGGGUGAGUAUUUGGUAUAUUGUAACUUUUUUUUAUUCCACAAGUAGCCUUAAAAAAUUGACAUGUCUCUUUUUUGUAAAUAUCUAUUUCUUUAAUAUUUUACUAUAGCUCUGUAGUAUACUUACAAACCCCUUAUUCUUUGAUAAAAAAAUAAUAUUAUCCAAAGAAUAAAAUUGAACAUACCAUAAAAAAACAUUAUUAGGAUUUUUUUUUUAUGAAUUACAAUAACAGGGUAAAGCCCGAACAAUAAAGGCAAUUAGUGCGACUCAAACCCAAACCACAUCUAGGACGGUGAACACCUUAAAUCAUCAGGCCACCACAUAGGAUUCCAAUAUUAAUGUUUUUAAAAAAGUUAUUACCUAUAUUUAUCAUCCACCUACUUAUAUAUAUAAUUGGUUAAAAUAUGCUUCAAGUCUCUGCAUUUUUUUAUAUUUGGAAUUUAGUCCUUUUAUUAUUAUUUAAAAAAAAAAUUUAAUUCGUCAACUCUUUAAAUUUAAAAACUCAAGUACAAUUGUUAACAUGAUUGACAUUUUUCUCUUAAAUUCAUUGAUGUGAUAUUUUUUAAAUUAAAAGAAAUUUAUAACCUUGUCUUGAGUCCCAGCACUGCCAACAACAUAGCAACCCAUUAGCUUUGCAAAUUGGCCAACAAGCUGUCCAACAGCACCAGAUGCAGCUGACACUAACACAUAUUCCCCUUUCUUUGGUGCGCAAACCUCAUAGGAUCCUCCAUAUGCAGUCAAACCAGGCAUCCCUGUUAAAAUUUCAGAUUUACUCAUUAUAUUUUAAUUUGAUAUAAUAUGAUCCUUCUAUUAUUAUAAUUUUAUCAAUUAAUAAUUUUGUAAAAAUAGAAACUUACUAAUAGUUGAAUAGUUGGAUGACCAUUUUGUAACUUUUCAUAGUUGGACAACCAAAAAAGAAAUUUACUAAUAGUUGGAUGACUACUAGUGAAGUUUACCCAUAACAAUAAGAGAUGAUGAAUUAUGCCCAAUAUAGGGACUAAGUCCCAAAAUUAUAAUAUAAAAAGAAAAAGGAAACGAAACCAUAAUUUCAAGAAAUUACCAAGAAUUCCAAUAUAGUAGGAAAGGGGUAUAUCAGUAUGAUGGAUUUUAAAGAGCCCUUCACUUGAUUUCAGCAAUGAAUACUCUUCCCAUCCUGUUAAUCCCCAAACCAAAUCUCCUUCCUUGAAUUCUGGGUUUCUUGAAUCAAUAACUUUACCCACUCCAAACCCAGUUAUUAGCUGCAAAUAAUUACGCCCUUAAUCAAAAAAAUAAAAAAGUAAAAUCCUGUCAUUAAUCCAUCAAGCAUACAUAAAUUAUGAAUUUAGUUUUUUAUUCUAAUUUUAGAAGGGCCUAAAGAGCAAUUUUCCAUUUUUAGAGGCAAGGCCUCUAGCUACCGACCUUGUUACAAAUACUCAAAAAUUAAAUUAUUGGUAAGUUUUUGCUUUAGUCACUUAAUUUUAAAAAGUUAUGAAAUGGUCACUAAACUAUUCAAAAACUUUCAUUCAAGUCAUUGCUAAUGUAUACGGUAUACUCUUCUCUGUUCGCACACCAUUUUGUAACUUUUUGAAGUUGAAUGACUAAAACGUAAUAAUUAACAAAUUUACAUACUACUAGAAUAAAAUAAAAGAACAAAGACUGAAUCCGUAACUUACAGCGGCCGGAGUGUAUGAACCGAAGAUUUCUGAACUUCGGUUCGUCAUCAAAAGUCGCAUAUAAGGAUCACAUGAUAAGUAAAGAUUCUUCACGAGAAUGCCUUUGGAAUCACCGGCAACCUUCAGUUUUAGAUUCUCCUCGACAGUGAUCGCCAUGUCUGAUUCUUUUGGAAACCCGGAAACAUAAUCCUUGAAUAUCACCUUUUUGUUGCUCACCACUGCAUUUUUCUCACUACCAUCCGCCAUUGUUGUUUUGCUUGGUACUUUUUUUUUUCUAUGGUGAAUAUCACGUUCUGAAAUAAGCUGAGCUUCUCGUCUGUUAUUAGGUCUUAAAGUGGUCCAAUUGUGCUUUUGGUCCUUCUAUUAUUUUCAAAUUUGAAAAUUAGUCUAUUUAUUUUAAUUUGGUAUAAUUUAAUCUUUGUGAUGUUAUUAGUUAGUUGAAAUAGUUAACUAUUCUGUCAAAUUUUAUACUAUUGGUCUCGGCAUACUGUUUGAAUUUUAAAAUUUCAAUCCUAAUUAAAAUGCUAUUUGCUAAUUUAUAAUAUUUUCUAGAGCUUAUGUGGCAAAUAUAUUAUCAAAUGUAUAAUGCUACGUCAGUUUGCUAUUUGCACAAAAAUAAUAAAAAAAAUCUUGUUAUUUUUAAUCCUUCUAGUAGAAUUUAACCUAGCUGUUCUAUUUACUAUAUUUAAGUAAGUUCGUCCAAUUAAAUGUGUUUUUUGCUAACUGUAUUGAAAGCGUGUCUAACUGAAUGUGUUUUUAUACACUCUCUUCAAAAAUAGUCUAUUUGGCCAGUUAUUUUUUUUUCCAAAAUAUUCAACUAAUUUAAUCAGAUUUUUCUUUAAUUUUUCAUUCAAAUUUUAUUUUAUAUUUCUUUGAUAAAUGAAUUUUCUUAUAAAAUAUAAGAUAUAACUCUUUAUUUAUUUAUUUUUAAAAUAAAAAGUUUAAAAUUAUUAUCCAUAAUACCUAAUCAACAGUGACCCAGUGUUUUUCAUGUUGAAGUGAUGAGAAAGUGAUAUAAUCAUGAAUAUUGUAUUGACUUUAAGUGUGUGUGUUUUUAAAUAAAAAACUUUUUAAAAAUGUUUAAAUAAUUUUAAUGGUUCAUUAAGAAAUUUUUAAAAAAAAUUCGUGAUUGUCUUUCUCGACAAUAACAUAAAAGUACAUCAAAUUUUAUUAAUAGAAAUGAAACUAAUUUCAAACAAUUUACUUAACAAAUAUCCAAAAUUAUAUAAUCCUUUUUAAGGAAUAGAGUUGAUUGCAACUUGCAAGUUUCACAAAAGAAUAAAGAUUUCAAGAUCUUUUAAGUAAAGAUAAGCAAGUCUCAUUAAUUUUAAUCUAACUUUAGAUUAAAGUUAUUUAAUUAUGGAUUAAAUUUUUAAUUGGUUUGGUUAUUUAAUAUAGACCCGAGAUAAAUCUUAAAAUUAUACAUGAAAUUUGAUUUUAUAUGCAACGUGAUAUAUAAACUUUGAUUGUGGUUCAAAUGUAUAAAUGCAACUUUAAUUAAAAUGUCUUCACAAAAAAAAAAUACACAUGUACAAAUAUCAAACACGUUAAAAUAGACAUAAAAAAAAGAAUCACUAACAUGAACUAACCGAAAGGUGAGCAACAUUGUAAUUAAAAAAGUGAUACAUAAUCAGUAUUAGUUAUUUUCAUAUAUAGUAAGACACACUGUAUCUUUAAUAAGAGAAUACAAGUUCGAGUCUUGGAGAUGAUCUUAUUGGAAAGGACAACUAUGCACCCAAAUAUGGAUAACAAAAUAGACAUGAAAGAUACCAAAAACAACUAACAUAAAUUCGUAUUAUGAAUUUAUUUAUUGAUAAUGUGUCUAAAUAUAGUUCAUUGUAUUAAAUUAUAUAUUGUCAAUGCAUCAAAUACAAACAUUUCUUAAAAUCAUUGUGGGGCAAUUACAACCACUUGUUUGCCCACAUUGCGACCACUAAAGAGCCCGAUUAAAGCAGCAGGGCCACUCUCCAAACCUUCAACAAUGUCUUCCACAUACUUUACCUUCCCCUCUCUAAUGUAAGGCAAUAUAAAGUCCAAGAACUUCGAAUAUUGUGGAUAGUAAUCGAAUACCACGAAUCCUUCAAUUCGGACCCUCUUGUAAACAAUCGACAUUAGAUUGUGUACCCCUUCAGGUUGAUCACGGUUGUAUUGUGAGAUCAUUCCACAGGCGGCAAUGCGACCAUGGACUCUCAUGUUGAGAAUCACAGCAUCCAACAUUUUACCCCCGACAUUCUCGAAGUAGAUGUCGAUGCCUUCGGGAAAAUACCUGAAUUCAAAA
rnacentral:lncRNA from 1 species